UGCUGGUGGUGGGUGUCAGCAGCUGUGGCUAGAUGGGCUCCAGCUGUGCUGGUGGAGAAGGGCAUUACUCACAGCCGGACCCCAGGGACUUUGCGUGCCCCUUUCAGCGAUCUGCAAAUCUGCCAGCUGAGCUGAUUGCAUGCCCUCUCGCUCUGAUUUAUGCUAGGCAGUUCAAUCAGAAGCUGAUAUAAAUUAACGUAGCUCUUUUGCUGUGAACGUUUGAUUUGGUUCAAAAGUGUCUCUUAAGCGAGAGUAAUUGCAGGCUCUGCCAGAUAAGUUUAGAGCUAUCCACGCUUAGGGUCUGUGUCAGAUUAGCAAAGCUGGUUUCCAAAUUGAUUUGGUUAUUGUUACAUAAAUUCUGUGUCUCGCUCAGAUGGCUGGUACAGGCAUUUAGGACAAAGUUGCAGGGAUCUUCAUCUGUAACCUUCUCCCACGCACAAAGUCCUGCAGGAGGAGGUUGAGAGCCCAGGAGGAAGGAAUGUCAGAGCCUGAGCCUCCAGAAUCUGUGAUGGAGUGGCAACACAGAAGGAUCCAGCCAACAUCUUUCACACCACCUGAAGCCUCACCUCUUUCUGGUCCUUCUCCACGUGAGACUGAAGACAUUCCUCAAGAAUCACUGGCUCGUGCCCAGCUGCUUAGCACUACUGCAGUGCCCUUUCCACGACACAUAGCCCUCUACCCUGGAGCUUGUGGCAUCCUCCUAGCCCUGGAGCAGAAUUAUUGUUUUAAUGUGUUUUUCAGCUUACAUUGUGAUAUGUCAGGGCUGUGCAACAACCUCUCAGAGUGAUGUUGUUAUAGCUUGAAAUGAAACGUAUGUAUUAUGUGCACUGGGAUACAAGUAAGUGUCUGGGUAGAGGGUUUGCUGAGCCUGCCAGAAUGGUGUUGGACAACACCGUGGAUCUCAGGGAGCCAAAUAAAAAGUUUGUGGCCUUAUUUGUGCUUGGGAGUAAUCCCAAGAGCAAACUACCCUGAGAUCCAUGCCUUAUCCUGAAGACACGAGAUGUACCUCGAUGGAUUCCCAAGGAGAACGCUAACAGUUAAGUAGGAAGCUCAAACUCAUUCCCUCUAACUGCACUGUAGACACAGUGUAAAUGUCUAAGUGCCCAAUUUAGUCUCCUGAAGGAAUGGGUACAAUACAACUACACAGGUUCAGACAGAGUAACUGAGUGCAUGUGGUAAGUGUAAACAAAUUUUGGGAACAGAAGUGGUUAAUGCCAUAUAUCACAAGCACCUGAACGUUUCAUACAUGCUGCUGAAUUAAAGCUGCUUGCAUCCCCGGUUAAUAGCUCUACCUGCAACUCAACAGAGCUUUGGCUGGCUUUUGGAUCUAAAAAUAAAGUUCUCCUUACUGAGAUACCGUGUAAUUGAGUGAUAUUCGCCGUAGGAAGGGAGUGUAGAAGUGGAGUAGGUUAUAUUUAAUUGCCGUGUGGAAGCCUCUCAUACAUUGCGUAGGAAACUUUUAUUGUAUUCUUGAUUGCACCAUAUGGCAUCCAAGUGUAAUGUGAUAAAAUUACUAAUACAGGACAAUAAAUAACGACGUGGUUAUGUGUGCUGGGUGCCACCCCAUCCAUGCAAAACAAGUAAUUAUAGCUGGAGUGAAAAAUGGAGGUGUGAGUGUUGUAUCUAGGAAUACAUUAGAAGUGACAGAGUUUGCUAUUAAGGGUGGGAGUUUGUCUCAUCUGACUCCAUGGAUUCAAGAAGUAGGUGUCCACGCGAAGCCAGUCAUCUGCAACUGCGUCUGUGAUCAGCGGAGAGGAACAGGCACUUGGGAAGAUAAACGGCCCCUCCGGUCUUAGACAAAUAUUUUCAGAGGAAUGAAUCUCAAAACCUCGCACAAACGGAGAAGCUUCAGCAGUAUCUUCCCGAGUGAAACAGAGAAUACGUCCGGGAAAGCCUGGUCACACACGGUAACCUUUCUCAAACAAAUCACCGAGCCUAUUCUCCGCUCCAGUGGACAGUCAUCAACAGCAAAACUUUGGCUUAACUUCAUUGCUUGUGGACACAGGCAGCAGUCUCCUUCGUUCUUCUUCGUGACUGCUUUCUGCAAAUUUGGAGAUUACUAUUCCCACUUCCCUCCAGUUUCCUCUACUCUUGGCACCAUUUGUAUCGUGACACCGAAAUGAAGCGCUCUUGUGAUAUGAGCAGGAUUUAUGCACAGUUAAGCCUCUCAGAUAAAGCGCAAUGAAGCUGAGACGAGCUCUGGGGGGUCUCAUUUGUUGCGAGGCUCCAGGACCUGCAGAAUACGCCUUCUCCCAUGGCAGGGAGUGAAGCCUUCGUCCCCCUGAUACUGGUGGCAAGCUUCUCCUGGAUCUGAAUUAGGUUGAAAUCACCGUGGAGGGAUCCGGCUCCCUGUUACGCAUGUACAUGUACUUGGUGCUGACAAAACGAGCUACGUGAGAGCCCUUGAAUCAGCUCGUCCUGACCUGGAUGCGUGCUCUCCUCGCUGGUGAGCAACCUGGGUUCCAGCUGUGCUGCCCAGACUGCUGCAAAGACUUGUCACAUCCCCUCUGUCUUUGUCCUUUUCUGACUGAAGGCCAGCCUAACCUUGUGGAGCACACGGAGAGAUCUCUUUCAGUGUCAUUUUUUGCCUAGUUAAGGCUGUGGGUUUGGGUCUGCAGCACCCAGUGCACCUAAAAGCCGAGUGUUGUCUUGGGAAAUUGCAGUCUGAGAGAAUCAUCUUUCUGCUGAAAUGUCCUUGGAGUAUGCGCUAUCGUUAGAAGCUACAUCCUACAACAGAAACACUUUAAAAUACAGAUUUAAAAAAGGACACAAAGGGAGAAAAUGCCUCUGUGUGCAGUGUACAGCUGUCAUCUCUUGCUAUCAAGGAUGGCUGGAUAUGGUGCUGGUGAGGAAAAGGGGAUUUGUUCAUUCUCUCUCCCCAUAUUGUCCACUUGCCCCUUGCUGCAGGAGUCUCCUCAAGCCUGAUGGAGCUGUGGCCACCCAGUCUUAGUAUGUUCUUGAUGAUUUUCUUGCUGGAUGUUCAGGGAAUGCUCCGGCUGUUGUGCUAGCCUGAGAAAAGAAAGCUCUUGCUCAUCUGGCAUUUGUUAGCCGCAGCUGUCUUUCCCUCUUUCACAGCAUUUCAGGUUAUGGAUAAGCUAGAGGAAAAGCAAAGGGAGUUUUUUUCAUGGCACCCGUUUCAAUUUGGAGCUCGGAGAGCACCAAACAGCUGAGGUCUGAGGGUGACUGCUGGUCUCACGGAAACACUCUCCUGUCUUUUGGGCUGAAUUAAACGUCGGUCUCCCUAUUACAUCUGGUGUUACGAGCUGCUUGCAGAUCUUUCUAUCUGCUCGUUCCCUCGUCCUGCUGGAAAACAAUACGUGGGAGUUUCUUUCCAUACCAGAUCUUUGCGGGUUACUUGCUAGUAAACUAAUUUUACAUGACUCAGAUUUAAAUAAUAAAAAGGCUUAACUCCA